rnacentral:rRNA from 1 species
UACGGAGGGGGCAAGCGUUGUUCGGAAUUACUGGGCGUAAAGGGCGCGCAGGCGGCUGCUCAAGUCAGGCGUGAAAGGCCUGGGCUCAACCCGGGAAUUGCGCUUGAGACUGGGCUGGCUUGAGUGCGGGAGAGGAUGGUGGAAUUCCCAGUGUAGAGGUGAAAUUCGUAGAUAUUGGGAAGAACACCGGUGGCGAAGGCGGGUCUCUGGGCCGAUACUGACGCUGAGGAGCGAAAGCGUGGGGAGCGAACAGG